AUUUGCUUUGGGGCGGGGAAGGGGGAAGGGAAAUGUAUGGUUCAACAGCGUCCAUUUCGUCGUUGACAAUCGCGUGUAUUAAGGAAAAAGAAGAAGAGGGGGUUGCGAUUAUCGGCCACUGCGAUCGUGCUCGAGUACGAGCUCGUAUACAUACGUACAUUAUAUAUAUAUAUAUAUAUAUAUGCACAUGAUAGUGAGAAAGUGGAAUAAUGAUUGGUGGGUAGGGGUAGACUUUUUAAACAUUUUUUCUAAGCGUCCAUUAUGUCCCUCUUUGCACAAAGUAUUAACGGGUUAUAAUAUACGACAUAUUAAUCAAUAAUAUGAUUUUUCCUUACGAUUAGAGUGUUAUAUCUUUAUUACGUUAUUAUCGUUGAGAACAAAAAGGGAAAAAAAAUAAACGAAAGAAAAGAAAAAGAAGAAAUAUUUGAGUUUAAAAAUCGUACCUUCGUGAAUUAAUGACGACGGAAAGAUUCCGAGUAAUACCACCGGGGAAUGUAUAAAAUUAGAGAAUAUUAGGGGGAUAACGUGUGGCAGUUAGAAAGGGAAAUUGAAGAAAAUGAAAGGAACAUGAUCCCCCCACCAUUCGUCAUUAUAGUUUCUCACUGUACAUACGUAUGGCUGUCUGAAGAAUGGAUGGAUAUACGGAGAUACGAGGUUGUACGUCGUCCAUCGUGCAACCUCUCAUUUCCCUCCUACUGCAAUCAACGGCAUUUAAGCCUGGGUUCCGAGCGUUUAAGCAUUUAGUCGGCUUCCGCCAUAUCUCUACACGUAUUCCGAGCAUUUUUUUAUGGAUACAUGGCUAACACCGACCCCUCCCGUCUAUCCCCCUUGCCACCCCUAUCCCCUUGUCUGACAGAUACUUCCUGGAAUACUGACAUAAGGAUCGCAAAGAGAGAGAGAGAGAGAGAGAGAGAGAGAGAGAGAGAGGGAGAGAGAUGAGAUGAGACGAGACGAGACGAGACGAGUCUCUCUCUCUCUCUCUCUUUCUCUGGAGAUAGGCCAAGCAGAUUAUCGAUGGGUCAUCUUAAAUCGAUACGCAGAAACGACGAUCGAUGUCCGCGAUGGCUUUAUGGAACUUCAUUGAUUGGUUUUCAUCGAUUGAUUCGAACGGACGAAUUGAUUUUCGACGAGCGUACGAAAACAGACAGGUUUCUCGUAAGUGAGGGUAAAUUCAUUCUCCGGAGAGGAACUUGAAUGUUCUCGUUCCUUCGCUAUAGGUGGUCCUCCGUUUUCAAGUAGAUACAUGCCUGUAUGGCAUCAGCCGUGAAACUUGGAUCACCCUGAAGAAUGAAGAAGAACCAUCGGCACAACCAUCACUACCACCACUACAUCAGAACACCACUACCACUAGCAUCAUCAGCACCAUUACCAUCACCAUCAGCAUCACCAUCGUCUUUCGUGGUGGAUCCUUGUGAUGGGCACAACAUCGGCUUUAGUAAAGAUUCGAAAGGAAUGGGACACGAUCGAAGAGAGGACCGCACACGUAUAGAACACCGCGUGUGCGUGACUUUGCGGCUUUCGGCUUUCCAAGAUCGUUUUUUUUUUUUCUUUCUUUUUUUUUUUACGGGAGGACGAACCGAACUCGAAAAGACAAAAGGCCCUGAGGAAAGAUGUAAAGUGGGAGAAGAUUGUUAGAGAGAGGGAGAGAUAGAGAGAGAGAGAAUGUCAGGUAUACGAAGGUCGUUAGCUCGAAGAAAAAUUAGCCGUUUGUCGGAGAGAAGUUCUGGGCCUAAAGAUGGGUCAAUCAGAUACGAAAACACUUGUCGGUUCAAGCAUUGUCCGAAGGUAACAGGUCUACAAAAGAUUGUAGACACAGGUAUACCGUCCUAAUGACUGACCUGAGGAAUUCAAACCUUUACGAGUCCUUGAAUUUUUUUUCUAUCCUCUCCUAAUCUCUCUUUUUCUUUCUCUUUCUCUUCCAUUCUCUCAUAUCAGGAUAUUUCCUUCCUCCGGUAAAUCGUCUUAAAUUUAUCUUCAACUUCCUCGCUCGUGUCAUUUCAGUCAAAACUGAGUAAGGAUAAUUUGCCAGCUAUAGCGGACCGAUGAUAAAAUCUUUGUUUUAAUUUUACAACAAAUGCACUUACCGUGGGGUUCAUCGUAAACCUUCGCAAAUGUCUCGUCAUAGGGAUACUUUGUCAUUUUCUUGAAAACAAAAAAAAAACAAAAAAAAAAAAAAAAAAAACAAAAAAACAAAAAAAAAGAAAAAGAGAGAAAAUGUUCUCCUUUUGUACAGGAAAUAAGUAUUACUUUUCAAAGUUUUAUCGUUAA